GGGGAAUCUUGCGCAAUGGGCGAAAGCCUGACGCAGCGACGCCGCGUGAGCGAGGAAGGCCUUCGGGUCGUAAAGCUCUGUCAGAGGGGACGAUAAUGACGGUACCCUCAGAGGAAGCCCCGGCUAACUACGUGCCAGCAGCCGCGGUAAGACGUAGGGGGCGAGCGUUGUCCGGAAUCACUGGGCGUAAAGGGCGUGUAGGCGGCUUUGCAAGUCAGUGGUGAAACACCUGGGCUCAACCCAGGUAUUGCCGUUGAAACUGCAUCGCUUGAGGGUAGAAGAGGAGUGUGGAAUUCCCGGUGUAGCGGUGAAAUGCGUAGAGAUCGGGAGGAACACCAGUGGCGAAGGCGGCACUCUGGUCUACCCCUGACGCUGAGGCGCGAAAGCUAGGGGAGCAAAC
rnacentral:rRNA from 1 species